AGCAGCUUGAUUCUGGCCCUUUGUAUAACAACAUCAGUGCUCAGCCAACACUUCAGGAGGAGCAUCACUAUGGAAGACUGGUCUUCUCUAAAAACCACACAGAGGAUCUCUACUCCACCAUGAAUGCAGCCAUCCUCAAAGUUUGUCUCAGGCGCCUGCGUUUUAUUCUCGUGGAAUGUUUUGUUAACACUGAACAGUCAUCAACGAUUUGUCACUGCUUCUAUAAAGAACAGCAUUGGUGCAUGUGCUCAAUAAAAUCAUUUAAAUAUCACAUUUUUAUUUUUUUUAUUACAAAUACAACUUUACUCGAAUUAAUCUGAUUCAUGUUUGUUAGAUCUGAUGCUGCGACAUGCAGAAUAUCAGGACCUUGUGUUUUAAGCCAUAAGAUACAGAUUAAGUCUGACUGAUUCACUUCCUGCAGCUCUGACACAGAAACAGAUAAUGAUGGAAAAAAACACAUAAUAAAGAUAUUGUAAACCUAGCAAAUAUUUCUAAAUGAAAUAAAUAGUGUUAUCUAUAAUACAUAAAAGAUUCACAAAAUGCCUUCACGUUUACGUUCACUCACAGUUCAAACAAAGUAAAUGUGUAAUUAAAGGUGAUGUGAUCUAAGCUGCUGACGUCACUCAGGCUCAUUCAUCCUGUGCAGUCUUUAGGCUUCGUGCAGUUGGUGAGUUUCAUUUCAGGGUUUUGAUAAGAGCAGUACAAGAAGACACAGAUGGUUAACUUUCUGAUCAGACGCUGACGGACUGAAGCAGCGAUGUCACUUACAGAAGCUGGAUGUGGACUCAUAGCGUUCAUUCUCUGCAUCUCAGGGAUUCAUGGACAAACACACAUUUGUGCGUUACGUGGUUCAUCUGUGAAUCUGAGCUGUUCAACUAAAAAUCUGACUUCAAGCAACAAAUGGUUCACUGAACACAGAAAUGGCUCAGAGUUGGUUUACAAAGAGCUUUCUGCAGAUGAAAGGCGUGUGAGUCACACGUCUGAUGAGAAUCAACCUGUGCUAAUAAUCCACAAUCUGACAAAGAGUGACGCAAAAGUUUACUGCUGUGGAAAUACAACUGAAUCGCUCAAUUCAACUCAGUGUCUCAGGUAA
rnacentral:lncRNA from 1 species